GACGAACGCUGGCGGCGUGCUUAACACAUGCAAGUCGAACGAAGUGGCGAACGGGUGAGUAACGCGUAAUAAACCUCCCCUUCAGAGGGGGACAACAGUUGAAAACGACUGCUAAUACCGAAUACUGAAGGAGGGGCUUGCGUGUGAUUAGCUAGUUGGAGGGGUAACGGCCCCCCAAGGCGAUGAUCAGUAGCCGGUCUGAGAGGAUGAUCAGCCACACUGGGACUUGGAAACGGCCCAGACUCCUACGGGAGGCAGCAGUGGGGAAUUGUUCGCAAUGGACGAAAGUCUGACGGAGCAACGGCGCGUGAGUGAUGACGGCCUUCGGGGUGUAAAGCUCUGUUAAUCGGGACGCGGUACCGGAAUAGAAAGCCACGGCUAACUACGUGCCAGCAGCCGCGGUAAUUC
rnacentral:rRNA from 1 species